AUAUUAGGGUUCAGUCUGGAGAUCAGAAAAGCAAAGCAGCCUGGUCACUAGAGAGUUCUUACCUCUAAGAAAUCUUGAAACUGAAAGAACAAGUUCCUGCCUCAUCCUGCUUUAUAUUCCUCUCUAGUGCUGGGAUUAAAGGCACGCGGAUCUCUAGUACUGGAAUUAAAGGUAUGAGCCAUCACCACCUGGAUCUGUUUCUGCAUUAAUUUUGUGUAGCCCAGGGUGGCUUUGAACUCACAGAGAUCCAUCUGCCUCUGUCUCCCAAAUCCUGGAAUUAAAGGUGUGUGACAUUUCUGCCUGGUCUCUACUCACUUAGUUUUGCCUUCUGGUCUUCAGGCAAGCUUUAUUUAUAAAAUUUAAAUAAAAUACCUCUAUAGGUAGCACUGACUCUGUUGUUGCUCCACAACUCCUUUGCCUCUGAGUUUUGCAGCUACCCAUACAAAACUCAGCAGGGCUACUACCAGUCUCUUGUCUGUCUGGCCCGGUGAAGAGAUAAACAGAUACAGCUAUGAAGUCUGGUUAUCCUUUGCUUUUUCACUAAAGAAAAGAAAGAGUUAAGGCAGCUUCUCUUACCAGAUGUACUCUCCAUCUUCAGGAAAUCACAAAGAAGAAGGAGGAGGAGGAGAAGAGGAAGAAGAAGAAGAAGAAGAAGAAGAAGAAGAAGAAGAAGAAGAAGAAGAAGAAGAAGAAGAAGAAGAAGAAGAAGAAGAAGAAGAAAAUAAAUCUGGGAACACAAAAUCAUUCCUCAGUGAUUUCAUUCCAUUAAACAUGGCAUGGCACACAUAAGCUCCCAGCUGUGGGCCUGCUCUGCUGAGUAUUUCCAGUCAGGGAGAAAACACAUAGUAAAUUGAAGCACAUGGUAUUCUGAUUUCAUCACUCCCUACAAGUUUGCACAGCAGCGAGCUACAGUAAAUUGUACAGCCUAGCCUUUUCCCGGCAGGAAUGCCUACUCCUGAUGCCAUUGCUGAUAACGGUGGCAGUGUAACAAUGUUUGCAGCAGAAAUUAAAGAUUAACAUAGCACCAGCACUGGCUGACUUAGAAAAUUUUGCUUGAAACUUUCAGUCAGUUGGGUCACAUCCAUUUGUUAUAUUAUCUAACUAAGGAUGUUUCUUCUGGCAGGCACAAAAGAGAGAUGAAGAAAAAAGUAAAAUUACCAUAUCUUACCGCUGUAUCCCACUUUACCAAUUGUGAGUCCUGCGGUAUGACUAAGUGAUUAUGAGAUGAUGCAUAAUUAAUAAGAACUCAGGGACAGAUAUUGGGGUUCAACCUGAAGACUAGAAAAGCAAAGCAGCCAGUCAUUGGCUCUUACCUUGACCUUAGCCAAAAAAUUGUAUCCUGUCUCCAGAAAACCUCAGAAUGAGACUGAGACCGCGAGUUGUCUCCUCCCAUCUUAUAUUCCUCUCUAGGGCUGAGAUUAUUAAAGGCAUGCAUCACUGGAAUUAAAGGCAUGCAUCACUGGGACUAAAGGCAUGAACCCUACUACCAUGUCUCUAUGGAAAGCUAGUGUGGCUACUGGGAUUAAAGGUGUGUGUCAUUGCUGCCUGGUUGUUAAGACUGGCAGUGUGGUUGUUUUACUUUUCUGAUCUUCAGGAAAGCUUUCUUGUUGAAGGAGGGGCCGCUUGUUGGUUUCCGGAUGUUCAGCCCCAAAAUAAUCACACAGAAACUAUAUUAUUUACAUCACUGCUUGGUCCAUUAACUCCAGCUUCUUAUUGACUAAGUCUUAUAUCUUAAUUUAACCCAUUUCUAUUAAUCUGUAUAUCGCCACAUGGCUGUGGCUUACCAGCUAAAGUUCCAGUGUCUUUCUCCAGCAGGGCUACAUGACUUCUCCUUACUCCACCUCCUUUCUCUCAGCAUUCAGUUUAGUCCCUCCCCCCAGCCCUAUUCCCCUAUAGCUCUGAUAUAGGCCCAAAGCAGUUCCUUUAUUAACCAAUGAUAUUCACAGCAUACAGAGGGAAAUACCACAUCACUUUAUUUAUUAAAAUACAAAUAAAAUGCCACUGCAAUGAGCACCUGCUAUUCUUUCAGGGGAACAGAGUUUGGUUUCCAACACCCACAUGGGAUGGUUCACAACCACCUGUCACUCCAGGUCAGGGGAUCUCACACCCUUUUCUGGCCUCCACAGCAACUGCACACACAUCUUCAUACACACACACACACACACACACACACACACACACACACAAAAGAGAGACAGACAGACAGAGAGACUGAGAUGAAGUAAAUAAAUUAGUGAAAAUACUUGUUUGUUAACUCAACGUACUGUGCUAAUUUUGAUUUUUUUAAAAAAGUCAUUAAAUAUAUUCAACAAGCCAGACUGUUUAUAAUUAAACAUGACAACUUCCAGUACUAUCAGCAUCACCUGGUAAAGCCACAUCCUUUUUGCAUGUUUUUAUAUCCCUGACAGGGCUCAAGUUGUGUGUCAAUGAAAUACCGUAACCGUUUCUUAUAGUAACAUUUCAAUUUAUUGCAGAGACUCAAUAUAUACCAAUUUACAGGUUAGGAGAGCAAUGCUUAUGCCCCAUUAAGAGAUUUAGGUCCUACAGUUUGCGCAGUAGAGUGUGCACCACUUUGAAUGUUUGCACAUAGGCGAGAGAGUGAUAGUACCAAAUUUGUACUUUAACAGAAUACUUCUUAUAGUAAAGAAUAAAGGGGAAUCUCAUCAGGAGCAAAACUCCGUCUGAAGUAUUGUCUAUUCUUUGUCAUGUGACUCUGUCCCAGUUCUUGUGUGCAAUCCAUGCACACGGGACGAUGGAAUAUUCUCUAAUAGUGCAACAGCCGUUCACGCUUCAGUAAACUUUCCUUUUGCUGCAGUUCUAGCUAUUCCUCGACCCUUAGGCAAACCCCUGUUCUCCGAGACUACGAUCUCUUGCUGGUAGGUCAGAGAAGCAAUUGUUUACAUGCCAGUUGCCUGUACGAGCAGUAUAAAACAACAAGAGGUUGGGAAUCAAGCAGAUUUCCUCUGUUGUAUGAGCUUUCUCAAUUAUAAAUUGAGCGAAUUCUCAUCUAUUUUGAAAUGGAUUAGAGAUAUAGCAUAUUUAAUGCUUAAGACUCUAGAUGAGGCCGGGCGAUGGUGGCGCAUGCCUUUAAUCCCAGCACUCGGGAGGCAGAGACAGGCGGAUCUCUGUGAGUUCGAGACCAGCCUGGUCUACAGAGCUGGUUCCAGGACAGGCUCCAAAGCCACAGAGAAACCCUGUCUCGAAAAAAAACAAAACAAAACAAAACAAAACAAAAAAAAGACUCUAGAUGAGAAAACCAUACACAGAAUUAAAGAGAGGCCAGUAUUAUUUUUUUAUUUUCAAUGUAUGCAUGUCUGCCUGCAUGUAUAUGUGUAUGUGUUUUUGUAGUUUAAGAACAUAAUACACCCUGUUUCUCAUUUGCUUUAAGACAGUUAGUUUGUCUGGCAUUAAGCAAGUCUCUUUCAUAACUACUUAUCAUGGUUUAUAUCCUAAGAGAUGGGAAUUGUGUAAAACUUUUAUUACUGAUUCUUUGUGGAUUUCACAUCAUGCAUCCUGAUCCCAUUCAUUUUCCUGUCCCUUCAUAUCUGCCCUCUGACAUUGCAACCUUCCACCCCCGCCCCAAAACAAAACAAAAUAGAAUAGAAAAGAAAAGCAGAACAAGUCUUGGUGUGGAAGCCGCAGCGCGACCCAGUGAGCUCCACAGUGUCUGCUUUGGUCCAUGCAUCUUCAUUUGUAAGUGCGCGUUGCAAUGAGUCAUUCAUCUGGUUUGUGGCCUCUGAUUCUGCUUCACCCUUGAUAGUGGGCCCUCACUGGGUCUCCUCUUGAUAUUCUGUUGUUGCCUUGUGUCCUAGAGAUCCUGUAGUUUCAGAGCUACAGGCCUUCUCCCCUUACAUGCUUCAGCAGUUCACCACCAGGGUGAGCUCUCCUGCACUGCCCUGGCCCCCUCAUUCAUCAGACAAGGAGCAGGGCCAGUUCUCCCGUUCUCACACUCUAGGGGUUGGCUCACUGGCAUCCACACCACCAGGGCCGGCUCUACUGUUUUGCCCAUGCAAGGUUCAGGGCCAGCUUGCCCUCUCUCAUGUUGCCAAGGCCAGCUCUCCUGCUGCGGCAGAUGGCAAGGGUUGUGGGGGGGGAUCUAGCCCUCACCCAGGCCACCACGUGGCAGAUAAAGGAGGCGGGGUUAUCUCUCCUGUUCUCAUGCUCUCAGGGCAGGCUCACUUGCACCCCUGCCAACAGGGUCACCUCUAGUGUGCUGCCCAGGCAGGUGCAGGGUCAUUUCUCCCAUGUGUCGCUGGCUCUCAAACUCUCGUGACACCCGGAGCCAGCUCUCCUGCCUGAAGAGAUGGGAAUGUCAGUGACUGGAAAUUGGUUUCCCAACUUGCUGUUAUCAAUCAUGAAAGAAGUUGCUUACUGCUCAUGGACUCACUGCCACGGGCUGUUGUUAUUUCCUGAGAGGACACUUUCGCAUCACCGGAGAAAGUUGAAAUCCAGGCUUCUCCCCGUGGAAAUGCUGCUUCAUGGGUUGUAGUUACUUGUCAGGCUCAUGACUCAACACACUGAAAUAUUGCCAAAGAAAAUUUCCUCUCAAAAUUCAAGUUUGCUCAGUCACAGCACAGAUGUUGCUGAACGUAAUUAAUUACCUUCAGGGCUAGAGAAAUGUGACGUUCACUUACAAAUAAUAAUUAAUGGACAGCAACUGAGGAUUCUUGGUGGCCAGUUCUUUGAGUCACUCCCAACCACAGAAUACACUUUCUUCUGAGCAACAGAAGAAGGUUGUGUGCCCCAGCAACACAGUGAGUGUUUGCAGAUAGUUUAAAGAGAACAGGAAAUGUGUGACUUAGAACUGGAUGGAAGAAGAGAAUGACCAUUCCAAUUACCAACCUGUGCCUGCUGUACCCACGGGGUGAUCCAGAGAUGCCUACAAAUCUGUCCCAGACUUUGACACACUAUGCCAUGUGAAUCGUGUGCACACACUGUUCUGGGCACAAAACCUAUGGACAAAUUCCCCACUUCAUGGAGACUUCUGAAAGCGGUACUGUCUGUCUAUGUCAGCGUGGCAACAUUUUGUUUCAGGAAAAGUCUUACGACGAAACAGUGGUACUUCAGGGAAGACCUUUGCUGCUGGCCUCAGGAAAUUCUUGUAAAUGGGUUUAAUCUCACCAUCCAGUUCGCCCUUCUGGUUUAACGCCUCCUAUGUCAGGCAAAAGCCAGACUGCCGGUCUUCCUGUCGAGGCCCUCUUUUCUGUUGUCCAUCGAACCUAGGUAUCAUGUCAGCGCUAUGUCCAGUUCCGGUUAGUUCCUGCCUUGACAGGUUUGAAGCCUUUUGAGUUCAGCUCCUGUCAUCCAUCCAGACACAAAGCUCUGUCAAAGUCUUCUCAUUGCGUAAAUGUAGUAAGUUCAGCUUUCCUUCAUUAGACGUGUCCUUUGUUGUUUUUAUUUUUAAUUUUGAAGAUGACCCGUUUCAGUGGACGGCAGAAUGUAAGAACAAGGGAGACAAUACUUCAUAACUACUUUUCUGGGUAUAAUUACAACCUUGACUUUCCAUACCUUUGUCCUGAAAGUAUCGGACUACUGGUUUUUCUACAAACAUGAAGCUGUGGUUUGGAUCUAGGUGGAAGGAGUCUCCCAGAAACUCAUAUUGGAAAGUUUUAUUCUCCACCCACCCAUGUGCUACUGUUGAAAAGAGGUAAGAUCUUUUCAGAGGUGGGAACUGGGGGAAAGGUUUUAGGUCAUUGUGGCUUUGUCCUCAGAGGGUUAAUAUAAUUCCCACGGGGCCUGUCUCUUGGUGUCUUGUCUCACCCUGUAAACCCUCUCUUACGUACCUAUCUGCCAUGGUGUCAUUCUCCAUUAGGCAAUGAGCCUGGGAGCACCCUUAGGCAGUACAAUGAGGUUUGGGCUUUUCUUUACUAAGUGUCUAGCCUUGGCCAUUUCAUUAAGAAACAGAAAGCAGGCUAAUAUACUUGGUAGACAAAUGAUCCGCUUUCAGGGACAUUUUGAUUUCAGAGUAGUUCAUUCUAUAGUGGUUUCUUCAGUUUAUGUCUAACGUUUUCCAGAACUCUAGAUACAAAAGGCGGCUGGAGGUAGGCAGGUGAGUCACCAGAACUGGAUCUAGACCUGUGUGAGAAGGAGGGAACUUGGCACAAACCCACUUCCUCCUGUCAUUUUAAAUGUUGCCUUAAGCUCAUCUGUUGAAAUGUUCUAAGCUCAAGUAAUACUGCAUGGGCUUGGCACACUGUGUUUUUCUAAACGAAUUGCUUCCUGCCUCCCUGUACCACUGUGCAGGUGACCUUAGGGCUGGGAAUGGAUAACGGGCACCUACAGCCUGCAGAUGACUGAGAAGUGUGACCUCAGGUGGGCUGUGGCAUCUGCUUUACCAGAAACUGUGAAAAUUUCUAACUAUUUUUAUUAUGAUGAUUAUGAAAACUCUAUCUAUUUACAAUCUGGGAAAUUAUUAAUACUCUCUCAUCAUGUGGGUCUUCAGGUUGCAAAAGAGGACUGAUAAAGAUGACUUAUUCGGCAAAGCUGCGAAGAGGGUGCAAAGUAAAACACACUCGGCACAGCUACCGUCAUGGCCUUUUCUGGACACGAAUUCAUUUGACUCUCACACCAACCUCACAAGGGAGGGCUUUAGUAUUGCGUGGAUGGGGCAACUGUGGUUCUGAGAGGUUGUUCUGUAUCACAGGUGACAGAGAGAGGCACUAGUGUAUUCGGCUGCCCACUGCCCACUAGAUGUUCUCACUGAGUGCCCCAACCCUGGAACAAUAGAAGGCCACAGGAGUAAGGAGAGGAGGUCAUGGGAGACUGUUCCAGAUCUUUCUUCAGCUCUCAUCUCUUAUAAAACUACUUUUAAGUUACCUCAAUGCUUUUUAAUGUAAGCUAGACCACAAUAGAAAUCCCAUUCAUGGUUCAAUAGCACUUCAAAGAGAUCUAAGGGUUAUAAAAAAGCAUAAUACUUUAAUGUGAAAAUAUAACAAUUUUGCCACACUUAAAUUAUAACUGUUAUUAAUUGAGUCUACAUUUUGGCUAACCAUGACCUAGAAGUGGAAAACAAGGCUCAACUGUGAGCAAGAACAGCACUUAUCCCUGUGUAUGAGUGUUCUACCUUAGAACCAACGAUGACUAGGAGAUAACGUCCAUGAUAUGACCUCCGAUGCCUGUUUAUAUCGGGAAUUAUUUUAUCUUAUUAGAAAACUGAUGUUCAAAUUUAAAAUGGCUGUACAGAUUUGGUUACAUAUUCUUAAUUUCUUCUGCUUCAUAUAAAAGCAAUUUAAGGUAAUUUUCCAUUCAAAAAAUAGGAAGAACAACAUUUAAUAUUUUAUGAUAUCUACUUAACUUUUAUUGUUUGAAAAAUAGCUCUCAUAGUUAUAAGUUUAGAGGAAUUAAGAAUCUCUGUUGUCAAAGCUCAACAUACUAAUAUAAAAAUAUAUAUUAUAAUCAGCCUUCUCCUGUCUUCCAGUUAUUAUAAUGAUCCAUGCUUCCCAUGACAGCUAUCAAUUCAAAUCUGAAUUUUCCUAGCUUUGAUGUCCAUAUCCUUGCAUAGUAGUUGGUCUGGCUAGUAGAGCUCUCUCUCUAUAGAUGUGUGAUGUGCCCUGUCUUGAUGGAAAUAGGAAUCCACCAGCUGUGAGAAUAUCUUCCUUUUAUUUCAGACAGCACAACAUUCCAAAGUCUUUCAUCUCCUCUUUAGUCUUUAUUAACCUGCAGUUUGUAAGAAAUUCUUUUAUGAAAUAAUGGUGUGAAUUUAAAUUAUUAAGUUAUAUUUUACUGGUGAAACAUUAGCUAUGAUAAGUAGAUGCAUGAAGCUUGCAGCUUGUUCGAGUGAGUUUUACCUGUCAACUUGAUGUUAUCUCAAAGGGCCCAGGCCCCUGGAAAUAGCACUAUGCUGGGCAGCUAGUCCUAGGCUACAUAAAAAAGGCUAGCUAAGAAUGUAUCUUGGAUUGAGCUAUCAAGUAGAGCUCUUCCACCACUUCUGCUUCAACUUUCUGCUCGAGUCCCUGCCCCGACUCCUCUCAGCAAUGGCCUAUACCACUUGUAAGGUGAAAUGAACACUUUCCUCUCCUAAGUUGCUUUUGGUCAGUGUUUUAUUACAGCAUCAGAGAAGACACUCGAGCAUAACUUCCCAAACAGAGCUUUCUGUCUUGCAGGUAUAUGUUCUGCAAACACUGAUAUUCUGAUGGAUUCUAUGUAACAUGCUCAAAUCAAUACAGAAAAACACUCAUGGAAACUGAGACUUGAACACAUUGAUUAUAUGGAACAUAAUUGUGUGAUGAUUUCUUUUGCUUAGGACUGAAGUAGGCUUAACUCUCUCCUGUAACUCUGUACCCUGCUAAUGGGAGGAACCUUACCUAGACUGUCUUCUAACUUUAUGCACUUCAACCCUGUUUUUCCAUGGCUGUGCCAGGCUGGCGUAGAUGUCUCAGACACUUCUGACUUUCUGCAUCAAGAAACUGAGAAAAUAUGUAUAGUGAAGACACUGGUAUUUAUAAAAGGUAUUCCCACUAGGAUGGCUAAUUCAACAGAACCACCCAGAAGGUGACUGCCAACCAAUAAAUAGCCCUAAACUUAUGCUAAAGUUGACUACACUCAACUUCCCCCUUUGCCAGAGUGAAAAGUGUUUUUACAGCUACACCAGCAUCACACAACACCAAGAGAGACAAGAAAGGAAGUGGCAGUGGGAGAGAAGCAAAGCAGUUCUAACCAGCUUGACUAAAAUGUAGGACUUCAGCAUAUUUUAUAAAAAUCCAUGGCAUCAUUUUCAGGUCCCCUCCCAUGGUGUUGGCAAAGGCUUUCAUUACGAACGGGUUGAGUCUCUUUGUGGUAUAUGCACCUAUUAUUGUCUUGAAGUUCUGAUCGCUUGAUUGACCAUUGUUGCUUAAAUGAUAUAAAAUGUUCAUCCUCAUGUUUACGUUAGGCACUGACCCAAGUAACUGGUAACAAUGCUGAAUGUCAGGGUGAUGAAUCAGAAUGAUGUCACCACAGUGACUUUAAGUAAUGCUUCCUUCUGAUGGCCUGUGCUACAAGAGAUAGUUUAAUUUUCUUGGCACUAUUCUGGAAUUUUGACCCAGUCAUAGACAGUUUAAUCUGUGUUUUUAAUCCAUGCCCAACCAGACUAAUGUCUGUCCUAAAAAUUUGCAUGCUGAGUUUGAAUUCACCAAACUUGUGAACUGAAUAUAAUUCAUGCUUUGUUUAGCAGAUCCUUGGGGCAGGUUCCUUUGGGAAAUAUUCUGACUUAUCUUUGAGUAGCUGCUCAUUGUUAUCUCUGUUAUUCUUUGUCUUCGGAAGCAUCCGUGGUGGAAACGCAUGGGGAAAGGGGUUUUGGAGGGAGAUUCUGAACUCGUCGGGAAAUCCCAUGUGUGGACAGAGCUUCCUACCUCUGUCAAUUCACUGCUUUGUGCAGGAAUUUGUGAGUCAUGGGCCCGGCACGCUGAGGUUAGAACUGAGCCAAGAGAAGGAACUCUUGACCGCUGCUGAGCCAGAAUGACUAUGAAAGAUUAUUCAGCAAAGUUUUCUUGAAUGUUCUCUACAAUUUUAGAGGAGUGGGAUGCAUAUUCAACUCAUGUUUCAAAGAGAAAAACACCAGGUAGUCAGAUGAGAACAAGAUAGUAGUCUGAGGUGGGCCUCUUAGGCUGUGAAGAACAGACUUUGUUAUCUUUGCCUCUAUGGGGGGAAACAUGGAGAAAGGGGGAAAAAGGAAUUUUUGGAAAUUAUCUAGGUAGAGAAGCGAGCUAGAUUGGAUACUGAAGGCUGCAAAAGUUAUAGCAUGCCCAGAAGUAAAGGGUCUAUGACAGUGGUUCUCAGCCUGUGGGUCAUAACCUGUUGGCGAGUGGAACAACCCUUUCACAGGGGUUGCCUAAGACCAUCGGAAAGCACAGGUAUUUAAAUUACAAUUCAUAGCAGUAACAAAAUUGCAGUUAUGAAGUAGCAAUGAAAAUAUUAUGGUUGGGGGUCAUUACAAUAUGAGGAACUGUAUUAAAGGGCUCCAGCAUUAGGAAAGUUGAGAACCACUGGCCUGUACCACACCGAGAGAAGAAUGUGGACAAAGACUCAUCAACAAGAGUUUGCAAGGUUAAAGUUGAAGGAUGGAGGAUGGUGUCUUAGAGUUUCUAUUGCUGUGAAGAGACACCACGGCCACAGCAACCCUUACAAAGGAAAAGAUUUCAUUGGGACUGGCUUACAGUUUCAGAGGUUUAGUCCAUUAUUUUCAUGGUGCCGGAAGCAUGCCAGCAUGCAUGCAGACUUGGUGGUGGAGAAGGAGCCGAGAGCUCUACAUUUUGAUCCACCAGCAGCAGGAGACUGUGUGCUACACCAGGCAUAGCUUGAACACAUGUAAGACUUCCAAGCCCACCUCUAUAAUGACACACUUCCCCCAAUAAGGCCACACCUACUGCAACAAGGCCACAUUCCUUAAUAAUGCCAUUCCCUAUUGGCCAAGCAUUCAAACACGUAAGUCUAUGUGGCCAUUCCUAUUCAAACCACCACAGGCUAUAACCAUAAGACAAAUUACCUCUCCAAGUUGUUCUUGGUCAAUGUUUGGUCACAGCAACUGAGAAGCAAAUUAGAACACUGAAUAUCAACCAAGAGAAUUAGAUACGAUAUGGACAGCUUCAAUGACUCAACAAGUCAAGUAUUUGGGGUCAUCUUUUAACCAAAAAGAGAGUUUAUUUGUGUUAAUCAUAAUUAAUCAGACCUGUGCUCCUAUAAGAGGGAAAGGCUUGAGGGAUGGAUGCCUAGAGAGAGAGAAGGCUCCCUGUGGACAUGGGUCGAGGAUGUCUGGGACUUGUAGAUUGGAAGGAACUAAUACCACCCUUCUGCCCAUUUCUAAUUCAUGGUCUCUGGAAUUGUGAGAAAAUAAGUUCUGAUAGUUAAGCCAGCAAGCUUAUGGUAACUCAUAUGGCACGCCAAGAAAACUAACAGAUUCCACAGUUCUUUUUCUACAUGACAUAAAGUGUUACUUUUAUUUUCUAUUUUUUGAGGGGGAAGUUCUUUAAAUAAUUUUUGUUGUUGUUAAAAAAUGGGGAUAACAGGAAAGAUAUGUGGGAAGUUUGGAGGGGAAAGGGAAGGAAGAAAUGAUACAUUAUAGUAUAAUCUCAAAAACUAAAUAUAUAAGUAUGUAUCCUGAAAAUAGAUAGAUAUUCAGAUACUAUUCAGUGGCAAGAGCAUCACAUGUGUGAUAUCCCUAUAUAAAGGGUAUUUUGGGGAUAACUCUCAUGGUUUUAAUAAAGUAUGUAGUCCAAUAGUACUUUUAUGCCACCAUCAAUGUUCUAUUUUUAAUUGUAGAAUUUUCUUGGUUUUUGGAAAUACUAGGAAACCUAGGUGGAAUCUGAUCUGGAAUUCCUAAUACUAUUUUAAAACAUUUUCUAUGCAUUUAUAAUUAUUUAAAAUAUAAAUAUCAUUAAAAUUAAAACCAUGGAUAAAAAAUAAUCAAAUUGAAGGUCGUAUAUGUUGCAAAAUAGCAAGUUAAAAUUUAAGCACAGUGGAGAUUAGUUAAGAGACCAGGGAGUGUUUUCUGUCCAGGUUCACUCAGGUGCCGGUACAAGGUGCAGGGUGUGUAUUGGAUUCUGUAAAACUUCCAGUAACUCCAUGCACGGGUGAAGGCACAUUCCCAGCAGCAUGGCAAUGAUAAUACAAAAGGCCUUGGCAGCACUCCAGCUCUGACCUCUAUCCACAGCCAAGCAUGCUAGCCUGUGAGACUCAGUUUCCCUGCAGUGUUGCUCUAUUGCUCUCCGGGCGGUUUCACUGUGUCUAGCUCUGUGCAAAGGUGGGCACAUCUUUCUGAUCAAUGGGGCUGUCUUUGGCUUGUCAUUCACAGACAGAAAUCUGCUUUGAGACCCAAUUAUUAGAACAUGCUCUCUAUUUGUGUUCAACUAACGCUGGCAGUAAUGCCAAGGGACUACUGUUGGCUUUAGACACUUAGACCCUUGUGGGGGCCAUGCACUAUAUUCAAUAUUUAUGCUUUACACGGCAUUAAUAUUUCAAUUUUUUUUCUGUUUUAGGAAAAUAUUUUGUAGACCCUAAAAACUGUAUCUUUUUGGCUAGGGGAAAUUAACACUUUAUUUGACUCUAAAGACUUAUUUUAUCCUCCCGAUUUUAAAAGAAGGUGAAAUGUUAUCAUGAACCUCUAACACCAAUCCUAGGUCUAUACCUACUGGACUAAAUUCAUAGGUAGUAUGAUUGGCAUUGAAUUUUUAAAUUAUGUAAGUCCUAUCUAAAGAAAAUGAAUUGAAUUGAAUUGGUGCAGACAUUUAGUCACUAAAGACCAUAAAUAGAUGUGCUGUAAAGCACAUAUUUUAGUUGUAUUUCUAAGCCUAUAUGUUAUAACUUAUGUGGACUUGUGGUUAAAGAGCCACUGGGGGCCAUUCUUAUCUAUUAAUAUUGAGUCAGACAGCCUGUUUUUACGCAGUGCUCUGUUGAUCAAUACCUAGACUAUGUCCUGUGCAUUCUGAAGAUUCCUGGAGUCAUUAAUCAUCCUGAGAUCGUCACAAUAUGUACUUAGCAUGAAGUUGUUUUAUUUUUUAACCUUCUUUUUUCCUUUAUCAGCAUCAGACACUUUAAAAUAUAAAAGAAUUUUCUAUGGACUGGUCAGUGUUUCUGCUGAUGCUUUCUGAAUGUAAUGUUUAGGCUUGGGAUAAAGCUCAGUGUGUGUGUGGGGGGGUGCUUCCCUAGCAUGCAUAUGGCCCUGGGUUCGAUGGCUUAUACUAAAAGGAAUCAAAGCCCCACACAUUUAUCUUCUUAUCUAAGGGUAACUUCUCUGUUAGUAAAUGCAGAGUUUACUUCCUGAAAUAGCAUUGUCUUAUCACAGAGGACAUUGUAAAAUCCAUUAAAAAGGAAAGCACCGUGUGGAGAUUAAAUAUUAAUUUGCUCUCAAUUGUUACUCAAAAAAGCAAGUGGUACUUUUUGCUCAGAUAAGCUUUGGCUGCAAUGCCCAGGCUGCUACAGAGCUCUUUACCUCAGUCUCCAGAGCAACUAGGACUUGGGGGAUGGGCCAUCAUGCCCAACUAUGUGUUAUUUUUAUAUAGAGAAGAACUCAAAAUUGUCAAUGAGAAAGGCGAUUGGUGUCAAGGUUUGACUUAAAAGGAGCCCCUUUCCAUUUGCAGCCAAACAAAAUUUCCUAAAAUUAAGACAUUUUGCCUGGGUUUUCAAAAUUAUUAGCUCUAAUUUAAGGAGCAUCUAGCAGGAUGUUUUCCUUUGAUGAAAUUAGCCCCAAAUCAACUGUUUUCAGUACUUCUAUUGUGUCAAAUAUUGUUCAUGUCAGCUCAAAAUAACACAUUCUUCUACUUUUCCACCUCAAGCUGAUUAGGAGGUAAAAAUGGUCUAGAGAGGAUCUCACUGUAAAUUUUGUUUUUAAAGAUCAAAUAAAUACUUUCAAAGUACUUAAUGACUACUUCUACAAAUGUGGACUGCCUGUGUGCUACCUUAUGCUGCGAUGAAAAAAAACAGGAAGAGAAAGUGCUGAGCUAGGGAACUUUACAUGGUAAAGGACAUCUGUUUACUCUUGGCUGCUGUGCCCCCACUCGACUGUUUCUAAAUUCCAGAGUUGUGUUUGCACUUAUUCAACAAGGGCAGCUUCUGAAGAACACACACCCUGGGGAGCUGGGCUGUCUGACAUUCCAUGAAGUUAAUGCCAGUAGAAGAACAGGCUCUUCUGAAAAGCGAAGCUACUCUGCUUGCUCUCUGGCCUGCCCAUACAACCUGAUGCAGGUAUUCAUUCUCAGAGCUCUUUUCCCUGUAUCUGGAUCCACAUGCCUUUGGCAAUGUAAGUGUCCAGGGCUCCGAAACUGUGAGGAAAUCCUCUUGAGAUCAGAUGACAGGUACCUUAGGAGUCCAUGAUUUCUAUGGCAAAGUACUAUUUGAAACCAGAAAAGUGGUUUGUUUCUCUUCCUCUUUGUUGUAUGAAGUAUAUUUAUAGCUGUAAAGCCCAUGAACCACAAUAAUGACAAACAUAGCAAGAUAUAUCCAAGGGCACAAUAAUGGCACUUACAACUUGAGGAUCCCCAACCACUAUAUAAUUAAACUAAAAGCCCACUCAAUAGGCCGUAAUUAAUGUGUGUCCUGUCAGCCUAACCAAACUCCUGUGGCUGAUGAAAUUAUAGACCCUAGAUGAGAACCCAGAUUGCCAUUUUCCGAAACCAGUAUAUUUCCUAAUUGAAUUCUAAAAACCUACCCUUAAAUCCACAGAUAAGUGUAGCUCUAACCCUUAUUAAGGAAGCUUCUUUUUGCAGCAGACAAGAGAGCACCACAAAAAUCCACAAGCCAAAACAUAGAGAACAGCUGACUUUGGGGUACCCAACCCUAAUUGAUAUAUCUGUAACACAGCUUCUAUAUACCCAAGCCUCAGGGAACAUUGUGGAAGAGGAGGCUGGAAGGUUUUAAGAGCCCAAGGGCCAGGAAGUCUGUUGUGAGAUCAUGUCUUCUAUAUGUGAGAAGGAUGUUACACCCAUGAAAUUAAAAAGAGAAAUUGAUCACCUAAACAAGAUCCUCAAGAUGGUAACACCAGUAGACACGCUAACAUGGAUGGUUAAAUCUCACAAGGCCUCACCCCUGCAGUUGACUUUUUAUUAUCUCUUUACAAGAAGGCUGUGCAGCAGGUCACUUUCCUAUUACCUAAUGAUUCAAAGCUCAAAGCAUGUUAGUAACUUACUAAAUUUACACAAGCACUAACUACUAAAACCAUGCAAAUGCUCUAGUUCUAGAUACCAUGCACUUAUUAUAAUACCACCUUCCCGGCUCUUGGACGAAACUAUGCUAAAUCAUGUGCAGGAUAAUGUAGAUACUACGAGGUCGAGACUGGUCAGGAUGUCAAUUGUGUCAGAGAUUUUGAUGACCUUGGGCCCAUAGGCCUUGGAAAGUUUGCUGUCCCCGCAGCUACCUCCUACUGCUAUUUAAGACAGCUUUAUGGGAUUGCCAUUAUGGUUAACCAGGGUUUAAAAUUUUGACCGUGUGGUGACUUCUACUGACAAAUGAACUUUACAAAGAACUUACUUAUCUAGAUUUGUCUACCUUUAAUGUUUAUUGCACCCUCCAACUAAGGCAGUCAUACAGCCACAUGGGGUAGAUUCUUGGCCUAGCGAUAUGGUCAUACUGUUAUCUAUUUCUUCCAGAUAGUGUAUAGCCUAAGAGAAUUGGAUGGCAGAAAUAAUGAGGACUGAAUUCAUAACCAUUUACAAUAACCAAAAUAACUUUCUCCUUCAUGAAAGCUUUUUGUCCUUGUCCCUGCUACCCACCACACACUUAAAAUAGUUGAUGUUAGAUCCAGUGAAGUAGGAGAAACGGGGCCCCUUGUUUGUCCUGGCUGCCGGGCUAGCUUAUACCCAAAAUAACCACACAGAAAUUGUAUUAAUUGAAUUACUGCCUGGCCCAUUAUUUCUAGCCUCUUAUUGGCUAACUCUCACAUAUUUGUUUAACCCAUCUCCAUUAAUGGGUAUCGCCACUUGACUGUGGCUUACCAGCAUGAGUAUAACCAGUGUCCAUCUAGGGCAGGAGAACCAUGGCAUCUGCCUGUCUCUGCUUUCUUCCUUCCAGAAUUCUGUUCUGUCUUCCCUGCCUACCUGAGUUCUGCCCUAUCAACUAGGCCAAGGUAGUUUCUUUAAUAACCAAUGAAAGCAACACAAAUACAAAAGGGCGUCCUACAUCAACCCAGGGUUUCACACAUGCUAGAUCAUGGAGCUGGACCAUUGAUAUAUGUCCUCAACUUCAUCACCAUUUUUUUCCCUUCCAGAGUUGAGAGUUGAAUCUAGGACCUCAUGCUUUGUAAGCAAGCACUCAACCACUUAGCUAAAUUCACAAUCCUUACUUUUAUGGGUGUAGACUGGAGGAGUAGUUCUUCUCUAAGGAAAUAUGAUCUGCAAUUUAAGUUUCCAAUAAGAAAUCCAUAGAUUUCUCCAUCGAAUAGAACAGUUUGGCCUCUGAAAAUAGGUUAAAAGCUGUGUUUGUUGUUAUUUGAAACUAUUUCUGACUCCAUCAGUAAAUUUUUAAAGCAUACAGGUUUUAGUUCUGAACAAAUGAAAACUGAAUUAGAAAAAUAUAAUUGUUGAAAAUAAGUAAUCAGCAAAUAGGACAAAUAUUUGGCAUCAGUUUUUUCCCCAGCUGGGAUAAGGGUAAAGGGAAACUGCCCAGGGGCUGCUUACCAUGGAAGUCUGGUGUUAUCAUCUGCACCAGGAAAAGUGAAAAUACAAGAAGCUCUUCUCUUAAUGUGUGUGGUUCAAUAAUUGCAGCCAUUACAGGCAAAAUUCCCUUAUUUGAACAUAAAUAUGUGAAGAGAUAGGAAGACAAAUUUCAUCGGAGGCAUUUUAUUUACAUGUUAGACACCUCAUAAGUUUGCAGCUUGAAUUAAUAGACCCUGUGCCUGAAGUCAACAGUAAACACCUUUCAACCCUGAGAGGCAGCCUCCGUGUCUUGGGAGAAGCACAUUCCUGUUUCAUAUGAACUUCCUGUUCCUUAUAAAUUUAUAAAUAUUACAAGUGGUAUAAUAGCUCAAGACUAAGACAGCAGGUGUAGCGGCGUAUGAGAGAAGUGUCACAAAUAUGACAUUAUCUCUGUACUAUUGAGUUUAUUGACAAUGGUGUAGUGCUCAAAUUUUUCUUUCAAGUUUCUCGUGGUUUUCUGUUAUAUAGUAAUUUCAUAAAAGCAGCCAUAAAGCAAUACUCUGCUAACAAAAUGAAAUUAAAGGUGUUAAACUUUAUUAAGCAGCAUAUAUAUUUAUUAACUUAUUAAUAUUGUCAUGGAAUGCUUGCACUUUUUGCACAAAUACAAAACAAUUCAUUCCCAUCUCCUUGUGGAAUAGUCUGAGCCUUCAUCAGAGCCCACUGGCUAUCUGUGUGACUUAGUAAAAUGCCCUCAACAUCUUCACUUCAGUUGCCUUCUCUGUACAUGACAUUCCAUGAACUUCAUGCCACAGACUCACUGGGAGUGGAACGUGAUACAAGGUACGGAUGUAAUGUUGCCAAGGUUGGGAACAGAAACAAGUCAGUGUGAAACUGGUUAUAUUGUGACUGUGUGGUAAAUAAAGUCACUCUGUAUUGGUAGAAGUCAGCUUUGCCCAUUGGAACCCUCUCACCAAGGUAACACGUUCCAUGAAAGAAAACCAUAGUUGAGAUCCAAGGAUCCAUGCAAGGAAUUUUUCCAGUCUGUCACAAGGUGGCCCCAGAUCCAUAAUAAUUCACAACUCUGAAAGAAGAAGGGAUUGCAACAAAACUCCCUGGUUGUAACUGAGCAUGUAGGGUCUCACCUAAUUGUACAGUUGGUAGAGCACAGAAAAGCAACCUUGACGUACUUAAAAUGGGCAAGAAAUCAGUUGCGUGCAUCUAGGGGUACCUCUUUAAGGCUCUUCUCAGGAGAAGUAUAAAUAAGUUAUCCAGUUGACAUUCAGUGUUUCAGUUGUAGCAGGACUUAGUAACAUGCUGAUCGGCUGUGGAAAACAUGCAAUCUUUGCUUUUUACCCUUGUUUAUAACAAUGAUUGUUUAGUUUUUCAUUUAACCAAAAACUUAUAUAAAAAGUCUCAAAAUCUUGUCCUCCUUAUUCUCUUCUACCUGUAAUAUAUCUUAUAAAGAUAUAUUACAGAUACCUGUUAUAAAUCUUAUAAAGUUGUGUCCAGAAAGUUCCAGAUUAAAGUCCUUAAGAGAUCAUUACUGAUUUAUUGUUUCUCCCUUUCACUUGAACUUCUUAGAUUCUUGUUGGGCAGUGGGGGCUCAUGCCUUUAAUCCCAGCCCUCAGGAGGCAGAAGCAGGUGGAUCUCUGUGAGUGUUAGGCCAGCCUGGUCGACAGAGUGAGUUCCAGGGCAAGGUCCAAAGCUACAGAGAAACCCCAUCUCAAAUAAAAAAGAAGACACCAAGCCUUUCAUCGAGAAUUUAGUUGUGUGCCUGAAAUGUAUCAAGAUUCUACUUGCAGAAAAAUAAAUUGCACAAGCACAAAAACUAGAACAGGAGCAAAAGUCAGUGGUUAGUAAUACAUCUACCUACCUACAGUCAUAAAUAGUUCUUGAUAGAUUUAUAGACUUGGCAUUCUGAUGCUUUCCACUUUCUUUUUUCUUGAUUUCCUUUAUUUACCCCAUUUCUUGGCAGUGUUGGUGGUCAGAUUUUGAGACUUGCAUGUCACAGAUGAGCCCACUGUUACCAGGUCACAUCUCCAGCCCUACUAUAUAUGAUACAGCUAUUAUCAUCCCUACUUACUAUGAGAUCGCAGUAUUUGCUGCUUGUAGUUCUCACUGUUUGAGUAGGUACUGUUUCAGUCUGCCUUCCUUGAAUGAUACAGAGGGCACAAAAGAUGUCUUUGUCAAAUACAUAAAAACCUAGGGUAUAAUUAAAAGUCUAACUAAAAACAUACAUGAUGCGGCUAAGGAGAUGGUUGAGUGGUUGAGAGUAUAUAUUUCAUCUGCAUUUUAAUAAAUAAAGCUUGCCUGAAGUUCAGAGAGUAAAAGAGUUUCACUGAUCAGCCUUGCAGACCAGCAAUGGUGACACACACCUUUAAUCCCAGUAGCCACACUAGUUUACCGUAGAAUCGGGCAGUACACAUCUUCAACUCCAGCACUAGAGAGGAAUCUAAGACAGGAGGAGACAGCUCUCACACACAGUCUCAUUCUGAGAUUCCUGGAGGCAGGAUUGCCAUUUCAGACUGAGAGGUAAGAGUCAGUGGCUGGUUAUUUUGCCUUUCUGAUCUUCAGGUUGAACUCCUCCCCACCCCCACAAAGAAAAAGAGUGUAUACUGCUUUUCCAGAGGACCUCAUUUUGGGUGAAUCACAACUUCAUAUACCUCCAGAUCCAGGAGCUUUGAUUAUUCUGGGCUCCAUGGAGAACUUCAUCUAUAUACCAACAGGCGCAUACUGUGUUGUACAGGUGUACACCUCUGGGAUGAAGGCAAGAGAGCAUCUGGAAGGAUGGUACGAGGUGAUCCUGGGACGUCCCUGAUGCAGAAAGUGGGAAAGCGCUCUCACACCAUGAGGGACAUUGGAAAGGAUAGGACCACUGUGGAGUUGUCCUCAUGGAGAAGGAGACACUCUUCUUUGUGAGAUAACUAAAAUUAGCUUAUAGUAUAGAUACUUAUCAGUUUGAGGAAUGCCUUAAGAAGCAUUCUAUUUUUAUUCCAAAGGGGACCUCAAAAUGAAUGCAUUACUGGGAGCUAGGAAAUGGCUCUGUGGCUAAAGUAUUUGCUGUGCAAGUUUGAGUGUGAGUUUCAUUCUCUAGAAUCCACAUAAAAGUGGGACACAUUGUUCCUAUGGGAAAAUGAGAGCCAGAGACAAGCGAAUCCCCAGAAACUCAUGGGCAAUUGUCCUGCUAUACUCUGCUGCAAAGAACAGAGACCUCGUCUCAAGCAAGGUGGAAAGUGACAACUGACACUAGAGACGUCUUCUAAAGUUCACAUGUGCUCUGGCAAGUAUGCACCUGCACUCCUACAAAGGAAUACAUACAUACACAACCACACACACCAUAUAUUCACACACACCAUGCAUACAUACACAUCCUAUAUUCAUGUAUCAAAUUGCCUUCCUGAAGGCAAUGACAAACAUUUUUCUUUUUCUGAAUUUCUUGAUGCCUCAUGCAAUUAUAAAAGAUGAGUAUAGGAACACCAACCUUAUUUUUUUCAAGCUAGAGAUAACUAAAUAUGAAGACGUUCCCCGGAGAUCUGAUUCAAGAUGGGGCAGGCUGCCAGCACCCGAAGGACCACGGAGCAGCUCCAAGGAGCCUGAAAAACCCACAGGGGCUCCAAGGGGAGACCAGUGGCAGAGGAGGAGGAGUCUGCAGAACCCACAGUAUCUCUGGAACAACUAAAAAAAAAAAAAAAAAGAGAGAGAGAGAGAGAGAUCUUAUGGGAAGAUACUUUUUAACAAUGGUCUCAAGAAAUUGGAAGGAACAAUGGUGGAUCAGCUGUGCACAUGGAGAAUGGCGAAUCUAGCGACAGGCACAGGAGCUCUGCUAGCAGCAAAGAACAUGUAUGCUGUUGCUGAAUGGGGCCAGUCCUCAGCCUGCUGAAACGUUCCGGCCAGUGGUCCAUCCUGCAACAGGGAGCCAGCACCGCUGGAGCAUGCUCCGCUGAUCACCCUGAUUGGUCGAGGAGAGUACAGGCUGUGGUGCUGCCCUUGGGCUACGAGAAUGAUGGUCAUAGAUGGUGAGCCAGUGAAACAGCAGGCGCUGAGGGCAGAGCGGUGUGCAGCAGCAGCCUAGAGCUCUUCCCCGGUCCAAGAUCACCGGGUAAUAACAGAAUGUGUGUCCAGUUGAGUCUCAGGGAUAGUCCAGAAUUUAUGGUGCUUCAGAAACCAGAAACCUCGAACCAGAUCAAUGACUCCUUGGGUAAAUAUUUGCAUGUAAAGCUGUUUGGGAUAUACACUGUGGGAACACUCCAAUGCCACUUCAGUGAAUAAAUGUGUGAUGGAGAGGUGGUCAAGACGGCAGAACAGCUGCAGCACAGUGGUGUGCAACAGCCUGGAGCCCCUGCAGGCUCUGCCCCGGGAGGCCAUGCUGGUAUGUCUGGCCUGUGCUGCCCCCACAAGCCACAGUGAUGCCUGCGGCCCAUGCCGCUGCCGGAGGCCUUGUGUCUAUGUUACCACCAGAGGCCCUGUGGAGGUUAGAGGUCUGUGCUGCUCCCAGAAACCAUGUGUAAGUCCAUGAUCCAUGCUGCCCCUGGCUGUUGUGAGCAGGGAAGCUUCUUUGGCAGUGGUGUUGUUAACUGCGGGCUCAGAGUUGCUGGGAAUGAGAGACAUUGAAGGCUUUUGUGACAACCUCUCCCACCCUCAAAACAUUCUGACAGGAAAACACUGCAAAGAGUCUUUCAUGUGGUGAUGGGGAUGCUGAACUGUAGCUCUUCCUGUAGGUGAGGGCUUCUGUCUGGGGACUGUGGGGAAGGACUCAGUUAUCUUUAAGGGACUGGCUCCUGGGAGUUUGACCACACUCCAAUGAGUUUAUGAACAACAAAAAUUGGACUUGGUGUAUUUUUUUCUUUUUUGAGGACGACUCAAGAGUAGGAGGGUGGACCUGAAAGCAAUCGGAAGUGUUAUCAGGGUGCAUUGUGUGAAAUUUCCAAAUAAUAAAGAUACUAUGUAGGAAAGAAAAAACUAAGUAUGGAGAGAGUGGAUGAACUCAGACUCCUCUCUGUGUGUACACAGGAAUGUGUGCAUGUGCGUGCAUGUGUGUGUGUGUGUGUGUGUGUGUGGUGUAAAAUACCGUUUUUCUUUCUUGCUUUUAAUUAAACUUGUUCUUAGGUUUGAGAAGCAGGCUUGCCUGAGACGGCUAAGAAGAAUUGAAAGAAGGAACUUUUGUCAUUUUUAGGCCAACUUGGCUAAAACCGACAAAUGAGAAACCUUUUUCUUUUUCCCCCCUCCCACCUCCACUCCCAAGCGUUUUACUUCCUCCUUCCACUGGGAACUUGGUCGCUGUUCUCUGGAAGGCCACUACCUACAACCUAUAGUGUUUACCUCACGUCUCCAGUAAAAAUUACUCAUUAUCUAGCUCACAUCCCAUUCUGCCACAUCCCAGCGAUGCACACAAAAUUCACCAUUGAUCAAGUUGUGUUUCUUGGUUAUAAAACACAAACGAAUAAGCUAAAACUUGGCUGAAGUAUUUUAAGCAUAAUUUGAAGAAGUAAAUGUCCUCUCUAAUUGGAAAAUAGGUAGGAUUAAAGCCUUAUUAAAAUUACUUGUUUUGUUAAUAUCUUAGUUUUAUUUAUCAGUUUCGUGCAUAUGCGCAAUAUAUCUUGAUCAUACCCUCCUCCAGCUGUCCCCCUCCAACUUCUCCCAGACUCCUUACCACAUUCCCCAUCCCCCACUCAACUUUAUAUCCUUUGUGUAAAGUAACUCACUAAGUCCAGUUAGUUUGCCUGUGUCCACAGGAAUGAUAGCACCAUCUACUACAGCUUGAGUAACCCAGAAGAGGCCACGUCCCUGAGGAAAACUGGCUUUUCUUCCCCCAGCAACUAUACACUGCCAAUAGUUCCCUAGCUAGGAGGGCCCCUCCUGAGCCCCCUAUCCACCCAGGCUGGAGUAUUGAUUGGCUUGAUUUUCUGCAGGUCUUCUGCAGGCAACCACAGCAGUUCUGAGUGCAAGGGCUUUGUCAAGUCUCUGAGUCAUUAUGUUACAGAAGUCUCCCUGCCUUCUGGCUCUUAAAACCUUUCAACUCCUCUUAUAAUGCUUCUCGAGUCUGGUGAAGGAAGGAGUGACGUAGAUGUUCACCACUCUCCAUGGUCACUUGUUCUCGGAACACUGAUUAGUUGUGGGUCUCUAUGCUAACUGCUACCCACCUACUAUAGGAAGCUUCUGAUGGGGAAAAAUGAUUCACUAGUUUAUAGAUAUGGAGACAAAUAUUUAGGAGGGAGUUGGAUGUUGUAGCCAUUAGCAAUAUAGAAUAUGUUCUUGGCCAGGCUUAUGGUACCAGAUAUAAAAAUCUCUCCUUUCAGGUAAAGGUGGUCAGAAAACUGUUGGUUUUCCUCAUAAAGGUCAUGCAGUUAUUGCACCAAUGAGCAUAUCUUUCCAGGCCAGUGGCUACUUUAGCUUAUGGGGAUCAUGUUUAGAUAAGAAUCUUGAAGACUUCUCUCCCGCAAGCAACUUGCAGAGCAUCUUCCAGCACUGUACUAACUAGAAAGACAGAAACUUCUAGGACAGUACCAACUUGAUUUCAUUUUAUGUGACCAAAGUGUGCCGUGUAUAGACUACUCCUAAAGAUCAUAAAACCACAAAUCUAGGACACACACAUGUACACAGACUCAUAUGCACACACACACAUAAACAUGUACACUCAUAUGCAUACCUUCCCUUGCCAUAAAUUACAAGAAAUAAGCUUUGAAGCUGAGUGCAUCCUUUGCUUGCAUCUCCUGUUGCCCAAUCUGAGGUUUCAUAUGUGUCUUUAAUGUGAGAGAUGUAUGCUAUGUGCUGCUAAGUUCCAUUCCACGUUUGCUUUGAAUUCAUGAAGUUUUAUUGGAAGAAAUUCACCCUUAUUUAAAAAAAAAAAACCAGAUUACUCAGGAUGCAUUCCAAUUAUUAAAUAAAAGUGCAAAAGUGUUCUCUCUUUUUCUCUGGAGUUAAGCAUAUCCCAACCACAUCAAAAUACAACUAGUAGAUGUACUUUAGAUUUUUAAACACAAGAAAGUAUAAUGUAAUUAGGCCAAUUCCUGAUGAUAUUAAAGGCUCUUGGUGGUGUUAAAGAUGAUCCCUUUAAUCUGGGAUACAGAAAAAGUGCUGGCUGGCUCCAUUACAGUUGAAAAGUUGAGCAAGGGAGGACAAGACGUUGCUCAACACAUAUGAGCAGAAACGUAAAAAGGAAUCCAAGGCCUGUGAAUCACUGUCUGGUGUUUUCUAGAGGUAGACCGCACUCCGGUGUCUAACUCACAGUCAGAUGCUGCCAAACACUACUAACCACAGGACUGGGAGGGCAUGAGGCCAUUUGAGGAAACAUGUAUAUGAACUGCAUCCUCUUGAGCAAGUGCUAAGCAUGUCCCAGACUCCUGGCGUCAUCUUAACGUUGUUUGCUAUAACAUGUACACACAGAAAGUGGGGACCACAGAAGAUUGCACUGUCAUCGUCUUGGAGUUAAACUAAAAGUGAAGUUUUGAAAUAACUGGCUAUUUCCAAAGAGAGAAGGUGAUAGCUAAAGAAAUGGAAAAUAAAUUAAAAUAAAAUGAGAAAACAUGUCUCUAAAGAUAGAAGAUACUUUUUGAAACAAACAUACCAUUACAGUUUUCACUCUCCCUGAUCAGAGCCUGUCUCAACAACCUGGGUCCCCGUGGCUGAUGAUUACAUGGAUCCAAACAGUAGUAUGAGGAGAUCAACUAGUGAGGAGUAGAAAGCAAUUACUAGUGUGUCCCUCAGAAUUGCAGCCAUGGGUAACUUGGUUUCCAUUCCCUUGGGAUUUCUAAGGAUCACACAAUGCCUCUUAAAAGUGUGUAGGAUCUGGAGUAUGUGACCAUAAGUCUCUUUGCCAAAUGUAUGAAGUCCCCAGGGCUGUUAACUUUCAUUCUUUCAUGUACUUCUUUGUUCAGACUAGUCAACUAGACUCUAGUGGCUUGGGGAAGCUCUGACAUGGAGUAUAGAAAGAUUCUUGCAGUUAGGCGCGCAGGUACCUAUGCAACAUGACCCUGAGGGUUGACAGAACUCAUUACAGCUGUGACUGAAAUUAAGGGUAAGCUGGGGUAUCUGAUGGAAAGAGCAGUAAAUGAAUAUCAUAGUCAAGUUCUUAUCUCACUCCCCUUCACUGGGCAUCCAAUCUUUCGUUUGACCGCUGCAUCUAGUGAAACAAGCUAUUCCUACUAAUGAUGCUACUGGCCCAUAGACCUCUGUCAAUACUAUGUACCUCUCUGUCCUUCAUAUCUAGGCUAUAAUUUCAUAAUAUUAGGUUAGCAGCUGAUUUAAUUUUCUUAGCUAAUAGAACAGCAUAGACUUUCAGCUUUUCAGGAUUUGGGCACUUAGCUCUUGUCUGGAUAAAUUUGCUGAAACUAUUCUCUACUCUUUCUAAAAAAUGACACAGAGACAUCACAAGUCCCCAUGAGUGCCAUGGUCCCUAUUUCCCAAGACAGGUGUAAGAUAUUAGCCAGUAGAGCAACUUCUUUAUUUGCCUGCUGACCCCCAAGAAUGAGCCAUCAAGGUCACCAGCAGUUGCUGUUUCAUGGCAGUAGAAUCCUUGCUCUGUACCCUAGUGCUGAUUCUGAUGCUUU